AGCAUGUCAAAGCACGGAAGUAUAUGACCCAGCUAAGGCAUUGUGUGUAGAUGCGUGCACUAGCGAUUCUGAUUGUUCUGCUACUACUGCUACACCAGUAUGCAGUGCUGGCGAUCUUAAAGUAUGUGUAGAAUGCAAUUCAAACGCUGAUUGUUCUGCUAAACAACAAGUGUGUAAUGCUGAUAAUGCAUGUGAAGCAUGUCAAACCACCGAAGUAUAUGACUCAGCUAAGGCAUUGUGUGUAGAUGCGUGCACUAGCGAUAAUGACUGUUCUGGUACUGCUGCUACACCAGUAUGCAGUACUGGCGAUCUUAAAGUAUGUGUAGGGUGUAAUGUGGAUACCCAGUGUGCCUCUAAUGAAAACGGUGAAGUAUGUAAUACUGAUACUAAUACUUGUGCCGUUUGUCCAGCAGGGAAAAUGUUAGAGACAGGCUCUCAAGAUAAGUGCGUAGAAUGUAAUGAGGAUACAGAUUGUGAAGAAAGUGGGACGUGUGAUAUUGCAACUAAGACAUGUACAGUAGGUAAUCCACCACCAUCACAACAAACCGAUCCCGGCACAGGCUGCACAGAAUUAAAUGCGGAAGUUAUGAAAAUUGAGGCCAGUUUAGCUCCUGGAUUCCAGUAUACUGAUGCUGUGUGUUUGGCAAUUUUAAAUACUCUAAGUGCAUACGAAAUGUUGUUAAAUGAUACUGCUAAAUGCACAAGUUACAAACCUUAUGAAGGAUUAGCAUAUACGUUUCUAAACCUGCAAACAGCCUCCCUUGACUAUUGUACGGUGAGCGGUACAACAGCAAAAGCUUCACCCUGUACAGAAUUCACUGAUUGCUUCAAGACGAUCAAAAAGCCCUCAGAAUUAAAAUUAUACACCGAUCCCGAAUACUGGUGUGCUGUGAUCAAGACUACAAUGGCAUGUGGUACAAAAAAUGACGGUAAAGGUGACUGUACUGCGAAUUCUAUCAAACCAGAUGAUGAUCGUGUACAGUCAAUCGCCGGGUAUUGCCCUAACGCACCGGACCUGACAACAGAGACCUACAAUGGCUAUGGUGCUAAAGCGACUUACGGGGCGAUUACAAUUGUCCUGACUCUGAUGACAACUUUUAAAGUAAUGUUGUAAAACAGUGGAUACAACGACCCUGACGACAUGGCAAUGGAUUAUGGUCUGCGAACAAACCCCCCAACCAAACGAACCAAUCACAGUGAAGAACAACAAAAGUAUACUGCUUUGGAACCCGACGGACUAUAUAUAUAUAUAUAUAUAUAUAUAAUCAUACCAGAGCUUUACUGAUUUAAACCAAAGAAUGUAUUAUUCUUGUAUUGUGGUGUUUUAAAUUGUUAGUGCACAUAUUUUUUAUACUUUACUUAUGUUGAAACCUGGACCUUUUAAUAUAAUAACAUGUAAUUAUUAUUGUGUUCGAUAUGCAUGUUUACGCUUAAUAUGGAUGUCAUGAACCUCUUUUAUAUCGAGAAAGCGGGAUUCAACUGUAUAAAAAUGUUUUAUUUCCAAUAUUUAUUCUAAUGAUCUCGUAUUCAAAUUCCGUCCAAUCCUUAUACAGAAAAAAAUAUAUAUUUGAUUCCGAUUUUGAAAUGUGCAAACCAUGUCGUUACUGAAAGAAACCUUUUUUGCAAUUUUUAAAUAUUUUGUAGUGAUUGUAUGGAUAAUUAUCUUAUGACGUCACAUAGUGGCGGGACAACAUCUGGUUACAAGAAAGGUCUAUGAAAGCAUGGCUAUUUAUGACCCAAUCAUGACCAAGAUAACUCCUUGAAUAUGGUUGGCGACGUGAUUACUUGUUGGUUAUUAUACUCUUUAGUGUAACAGCCACGAGGGUGUUACCAAGACACUUUGUGUCGGAAGUCUAAAAUGUUUGUGAAUUCUAGAUGCGUGUGAUGGUGUAUGCAUCCCGUUUAUAACCAAUCAGGAUCGUGCUUAUUUAAAGCCCAUCUGUCUGAUUAAAUGAUUUCUGACCAAUUGUUGUUGAUAGAGUAUGAUGCCGACGAGAAAUCGAACGGCCUGCUUUGUUCUCUUUCUCUUGUUGAGAAAAGAGAACGUUAAUUGUAAGACGUUUUGUGUAUAUAUAAUAUAGAUGUGAGAUUUGUAUUUUUGAUAUAUGAGUUUGUUUGUUUGUUUAUAAAUAUAUUGUUUAUUUGUGUGUGGUAUUUUUGACAUUUGCAUUUCUGUGAUUUUUAUGUGGGACCAAGGGCUGAGAAUUGCGGUUCGUUUGUUUCGGUGGGUUGAUUCUAGUUUUUAAUGUUUAUAUUAUUGAUACAUUUCAGUUGUGUUAUUAAAAGUG